UACGUAGGGGGCUAGCGUUGUCCGGAUUUAUUGGGCGUAAAGCGCGUGUAGGCGGCUCGGUAAGUCUGCUGUGAAAGCCCAGGGCUCAACCCUGGGAUGCCGGUGGAUACUGUCGAGCUCGAGUCCGGAAGAGGCGAGUGGAAUUCCUGGUGUAGCGGUGAAAUGCGCAGAUAUCAGGAGGAACACCAAUGGCGAAGGCAGCUCGCUGGGACGUGACUGACGCUGAGACGCGAAAGCGUGGGGAGCAAACAGG
rnacentral:rRNA from 1 species